rnacentral:rRNA from 1 species
AGCAGCCGCCACGGGAACACGGAGGGGGCUAGCGUUGUUCGGAAUUACUGGGCGUAAAGCGCACGUAGGCGGCUUGGUAAGUUAGAGGUGAAAGCCUGGAGCUCAACUCCAGAAUUGCCUUUAAGACUGCCGAGCUAGCAGGUGAGAGAGGUAAGUGGAAUUCCGAGUGUAGAGGUGAAAUUCGUAGAUAUUCGGAAGAACACCAGUGGCGAAGGCGGCUUACUGGCUCAUACUGGACGCUGAGGUGCGAAAGCGUGGGGAGCAAACAGGAUUAGAUACCCCAGUAGUCCCUGUCUCUUAUAC